AUUGAACGCUGGCGGCAUGCCUUACACAUGCAAGUCGAACGGCAGCACGGGUGCUUGCACCUGGUGGCGAGUGGCGAACGGGUGAGUAAUAUAUCGGAACGUACCUUAUUGUGGGGGAUAACGCAGCGGAAGCUGUGCUAAUACCGCAUAAUCCCUAAGGGGGAAAGCGGGGGACCGUAAGGCCUCGCGCAAUUAGAGCGGCCGAUACCUGAUUAGCUAGUUGGUGAGGUAAAGGCUCACCAAGGCAACGAUCAGUAGCUGGUCUGAGAGGACGAUCAGCCACACUGGGACUGAGACACGGCCCAGACUCCUACGGGAGGCAGCAGUGGGGAAUUUUGGACAAUGGGGGCAACCCUGAUCCAGCAAUGCCGCGUGAGCGAAGAAGGCCUUCGGGUUGUAAAGCUCUUUUGUCAGGGAAGAAACAGCAGCUCUAACACAGUUUGCGAAUGACGGUACCUGAAGAAUAAGCACCGGCUAACUACGUGCCAGCAGCCGCAGUAA
rnacentral:rRNA from 1 species